rnacentral:sRNA from 1 species
UUGACAGCACUGGAGACCAAAGUAGUUCAUUUCUUGACAACAGAAAGACCCCAUGAUGCCCUACCAGUGUGUCUCAACCUGCCAUGGAGGGACCAACCUCUAGGCAGAUGAGAUUGAAUUUUAAGUCUCUAAAACCAGUCAUACUUAGCCCCU